AAAAAAAAAAAAAAAAAAGUUACAUAUACAUAUUAAAUACGUUGCAUGUGUACAACCCUAAUACGUAACUAAUGCACCAUUUUUAUUUCUAAUUCAGAUAUUAUGUAGGUCUACUAACAGCACUAGCACUUUUCCAUUGUUUAGUGUUUGUUUUCUGUCUUGUUUUUUUCAUUUUAUUUUUGAAAAAUGAUAGCACAAAGAAUCAAUGGAAAUCUUUCUACAACACAUCAAGCGAUGUCCCUUUUUACGUUUUAGUGAGUGCACUCACUGUGUUGAACGGAGUUUUUUUUUGUUUUAGUUGUACAACUUCUAGGAUUGCACAUUUUUCUGAUUUUAAAAAAAAUGACCACAUAUGA
rnacentral:lncRNA from 1 species